rnacentral:rRNA from 1 species
UACGGGAGGCAGCAGUGGGGAAUAUUGCACAAUGGGCGCAAGCCUGAUGCAGCCAUGCCGCGUGUAUGAAGAAGGCCUUCGGGUUGUAAAGUACUUUCAGCGGGGAGGAAGGCGAUGUGGUUAAUAACCGCGUCGAUUGACGUUACCCGCAGAAGAAGCACCGGCUAACUCCGUGCCAGCAGCCGCGGUAAUACGGAGGGUGCAAGCGUUAAUCGGAAUUACUGGGCGUAAAGCGCACGCAGGCGGUCUGUUAAGUCAGAUGUGAAAUCCCCCGGGCUUAACCUGGGAACUGCAUUUUGAAACUGGCAGGCUUGAGUCUCGUAGAGGGGGUUAGAAUUCCAGGUGUAGCGGUGAAAUGCGUAGAGAUCUGGAGGAAUACCGGUGGCGAAGGCGGCCCCUGGGACGAAGACUGACGCUCAGGUGCGAAAGCGUGGGGAGCAAACGAGGAUUAGGAUA